rnacentral:rRNA from 1 species
AUACGGAGGAUCCGAGCGUUAUCCGGAUUUAUUGGGUUUAAAGGGAGCGUAGGCGGACGCUUAAGUCAGUUGUGAAAGUUUGCGGCUCAACCGUAAAAUUGCAGUUGAUACUGGGUGUCUUGAGUACAGUAGAGGCAGGCGGCAUUCGUGGGGUAGGGGUGAAAUGCUUAGAUAUCACGAAGAACUCCGAUUGCGAAGGCAGCCUGCUGGACUGUAACUGACGCUGAUGCUCGAAAGUGUGGGUAUCAAACAGGAUUAGAUACCCUGGUAGUCCACACAGUAAACGAUGAAUACUCGCUGUUUGCGAUAUACAGUAAGCGGCCAAGCGAAAGCGUUAAGUAUUCCACCUGGGGAGUACGCCGGCAACGGUGAAACUCAAAUGAAUUGGCGGGG